rnacentral:lncRNA from 1 species
AUGUCUCCAACAUUGUCACCCACAUUGUCAGCAAUAACCUGCAACAAAUUACCGGAAUACCCCUUAAGUUCACCACACAAAAACGUAAAAAUAGGUAAACAUUACCCAUGACAAUUUCUGUGAAAAACUUGUUUCAUUUUGAAGUAAUGUUAAAAUUUUCAAAAAAAAAAUUCUAUGAAGGGCAAUUUGGUCUUUUACCAUCUUUGUUCAGUAUACUUCUAGUCUAACUAAACACUACAUUGACAAUUUCUGUGAAAAAACGGUGUUCAUUUUGAAGUAAUGUUAAAAUUUUCAAUUUUUUUUUUUCUUUGAAGGGCAAUUUGGUCUUUUACCAUCUUUGUUCAGUAUACUUCUAGUCUAAAUAAACACUACAUUAACAAUUUCUGUGAAAAACUUUACUCAUUUUGAAGUAAUGUUAAAAAACUUGUAUUUUUUUUUUCUAUGAAGGGCAUUUUGGUCAUUUUACCAUCUUUGGUCAGUAUACUUCUAGUCUAACUAAAUACUACAUUGACAAUUUCUGUGAAAAACUUUGUUCAUUUUGAAGUAAAGUUAAAAAAAACUUGUAUUUUUUUCUAUGAAGGGCAAUUUGGUCAUUUAUAGUCUUUGUUCAUGAUGAGGGUGCAAUGACUUUCUCAUAAGAGAUCGAGAGCACCACUUUUUUGAUGGGACAAAAGAUUGCAACUUUUGUCUGAUUAACAUCAACGUCAGUCCAAUGCACACCAAACACAGUACAAUCAGUACAAUUACAGUAUCACCUAACCUCAUAAAAGUAGAUUUAGAAAGUAAAGAUUUUACCGCUGGAUUUCUAGGGUCAUCUUCGGGAAUAUUUCUUUCAACCUUUCCAACAAGAUCAGCUCCGACAUCAGCAGCUUUUGUAUAAAUACCACCACCAACUCUACCAAAAAGAGCCAUGGAAGAACCACCAAGUCCAUAACCAGUAAUAGACUCAAAAAGACCU